ensembl:lncRNA
AUAGAACCCGUAGAUGGCGAGGGUGAGAGGACAGGGAGAGGUAAAGAGAUCGAAAGAGAGAUGUUUUUCCUCCUCGCGACAGUAAUGUCAUCUCCCAGCGGACUUCGAGGCAGUUGUGGGCUGCCGUCUCCUGCCUGCAGCCUCCCAGCUGAGGCAAGCCAGACAGACAGACGUAGGUCGAUAAUAACGGCACUAGCUACUCUCUUCCGCAACGUCAAGCUACGCCUCUGAGAGACGCUGGAGGAAAGACGCAAAAGAAUGAAGGGAAGUGGUUAAGAUGUGAGAAGACUGUGGCAAAACAGCCUUAGGAGAGAGAACGCAUCUGUGAGGAGUUGUGACAACCCCAAACCCCAUCUAGACGCUGGAGCAGAGGAACAAACGUGCUGAUGAUAAAUGAAAUUUGUUUGAAAUUACAAAGAAAGAGGCGCAUCAAGCAUCAUCAAGGGGAUUCCACAUCAGCCACAGGUUUCACUGACUAUGGAGAAAGGCUUUGGAUGUUGAAUGUUGAAAUGAUCUUAACUCACUGGUUUGCCAUCCCAGCCAUCAACGGUGACACUAAACGUUCCAAUAAAGUGCAACCUUGAUACACUGAUGCCCAGGAAGCAUUAAAGUUUUCUCAGGUUGAAUCUGGCUCAUAAACAUCCGUGACAAGCUUUCCGCUGAAGUGAUGCACUCAAGAGGUCAAUGGCAUCUUUUUAUUGCUUUGUAAGUUUAAUGUUUGCAUUAUAACGCUGGAAAUAUCUAAUAAAAUCUGGGAACAGACAGAGUAAUGUCCCUCUGAACCUUGUAUGUGGCAUGGAAACCGAUGGCCUUUUACACUGAGUUGUAUUGUCUGGAAUUGGUUUACUAUGAAUAAGUAUCCAUGGAAAUAUCUGUA